rnacentral:rRNA from 1 species
GAUCAUGGCUCAGAACGAACGCUGGCGGCGCGUUUAAGCAUGCAAGUCGAGCGGCAAGGGCCUUCGGGCCCCUAGAGCGGCGGACGGGUGAGUAACACGUGGACAAUCUGCCCCCCGGCCCGGGAUAGCCCAGGGAAACCUGGAUUAAUACCGGAUGAGACGGGACCCGCGAUGGCGGGAUCCGGGAAAGGCGCUGCGGCGCCGCCGGGGGAUGAGUCUGCGUCCCAUUAGCUAGACGGCGGGGUAACGGCCCACCGUGGCGACGAUGGGUAGCCGGCCUGAGAGGGUGGACGGCCACAUUGGAACUGAGACACGGUCCAGACUCCUACGGGAGGCAGCAGCUAAGAAUCUUCCGCAAUGGGCGAAAGCCUGACGGAAGCGACGCCGCGUGAACGAAGAAGGCCGUGAGGUUGUAAAGUUCUUUUCGGGAGGGGGAACAACCGUGGCAGGGAAUGGCCGCGGGAUGACGUGAAUCCCGGAAUAAGCCCCGGCUAACUACGUGCCAGCCGCCGC